GGGCACAGGUGAGCGUGUCUAGAGGAGGCAGGACUAACCUGCGCCAGGUGUGUGGGGGAGGGCAGGUGCAGGCGGACCAACGCGAACACUAGCUCUGCUCCUCCACCUACCUCCCUGCNNNNNNNNNNNNNNNNNNNNNNAUUCGUAUUAUCUAGGUGUCUUUUUUUUUUUUUUUAAUAAAUCUCUAUUGGUGACUUUCAUUUAUUUAUGAUAGUCACACAGAGAUUUAGAGAGAGAGGGAGAGGCGCCUGGGGGCCGAUUCCAUGCAGCUGCCGUCCAGCGCACCAUCCACGGCGGCGAGCUGCCCGGAGCCCCGUGGGACGGGUGUGGCGUCCUCACAGAAGCAGUCACCACAGCCCCGGGUGCAGCCAGGACCGUCACUCCCGGGGACACCAUCCUUGGGGCCCGUCGACACGCACCCGCUUCCUGAUGCGGGCGACGCCGCGUUCCCUGGACUGGCUCGCCGGUUCGCGGGGUCCCCUGGGACUUGGUCGCCCUGGAGCCCGUCGCCGUCCCCCUCUGACUUCGAAGCCGACUACGGGGACAUCCAGGAGGCGGUGCCACCCACAGGGAGACAGCCGGCCCACUGUGAGUCGUCACCGUCACCGUGCUGGGGCUCCCCGUGUCCCCCUGUCCCCAUGCCAGCCCAGGCACCAAGGUGUCUUCUCUCUCUGGGGCUCCCCGUGUCCCCACUCCAGCCCAGGCUCUGAAGUCUCUGAAGUCGAGAGCUCCCCUUCUGCCCUGGCAUCACGAGCACUGAGAGCUCCCAGAGGCACAGGGAAAAGCUGAGACUCCUUUGCAGGGCACUGUCCACCCCGAUCUUCUGGCUCAGCCUCCUCUGUACUCGGGGUCCCUUGCUCCAGAGCCCCAGGUAGCCCCAGGCCCCCAGAGGCGCCGUCCAUGGCCCCCACCUUGGUCCACGGGUGUUGGCGGCCGGAGCCCCGAGGUGUCCCCGAGGAGCCCGGCCUCCUUCCCGCCGGUGCUUUCCUCCUGCUGGGCCGUCCCGCCUCCGUCUCCGCCAGCUCUGCUCCUGUGAGAGCCCCGUGUCCUUGCCGCUGCUGAAGCUCUCGGUGCUUGCCAGCUCUCCCCCCGUGGCCCUGCUCCUGCCCUCGGGCGCGCUUCCACGGCCAGCGUGGACCCUCGAUCCAGAUGAUCACGGUGCCUGGACUCUGGCUCGAGGGACAGAUAGUGCUUGGUGGAGGACGUAUCCAUCACUGGACAGGAUGGCUGGAAGCUCAGGGGGUGACAUGUCCCUCUGUGUCAGGACAGCCAGAUGGUCAUGGCGGAUUUGUCCAUCUGUCCAGCCUGGCGUCGUCGGCGCCCUCCUCCCCUGCCUCCACGGUGUCAUUAGGCCUGUCCCGGCUCCACCCCGUGUCCACGCAGGUGUGUGAGGGCUCACCCGGGUUCACAGCAGGUGCCCCGUAAAUAAGGCUGAAUGAAGGGAAAGCACAGUGUUGAUGGAAUCGCCUUCCUGCCUGUGAGUCGGUUCCGAGCCCCGCGCGGGUCGUGUUCUCACGGCAUCUCCUCCCGGCGACUGUGAGUCUGCA
rnacentral:lncRNA from 12 species